rnacentral:rRNA from 1 species
GACGAACCGUGCGAACGUUGUUCGGAAUCACUGGGCUUAAAGGGCGCGUAGGCGGGCCGGCAAGUCAGGGGUGAAAUCCCACGGCUCAACCGUGGAAGUGCCUUUGAUACUGCCGGUCUGGAGGGAGGUAGGGGCGUGCGGAACUUCCGGUGGAGCGGUGAAAUGCGUAGAUAUCGGAAGGAACACCGGUGGCGAAAGCGGCGCGCUGGACCUCUACUGACGCUGAGGAGCGAAAGCCAGGGGAGCAAACGGG